UACGUAGGGUGCGAGCGUUGUCCGGAAUUAUUGGGCGUAAAGGGCUCGUAGGCGGUUUGUCGCGUCGGGAGUGAAAUCCACUGGCUUAACUGGUGGCUUGCUUUCGAUACGGGCAGACUGGAGGUAUGCAGGGGAGAACGGAAUUCCUGGUGUAGCGGUAAAAUGCGCAGAUAUCAGGAAGAACACCCGUGGCUAAGGCGGCUCUCUAGUACGGUACUGACGCUGAGACGCGAAAGCGUGGGGAGCGAACAGG
rnacentral:rRNA from 1 species